rnacentral:rRNA from 1 species
UGAGGAAUAUUGCGCAAUGGGGGCAACCCUGACGCAGUGACGCCGCGUGAGUGAUGAAGGCUUUCGAGUUGUAAAGCUCUGUUAGGUGGAAAGAAACACUCCGGCGCUAAUAUCGUCGGAGCUUGACGGUACCACCAGAGGAAGCACCGGCUAACUCCGUGCCAGCAGCCGCGGUAAUACGGAGGGUGCAAGCGUUGUUCGGAUUUACUGGGCGUAAAGGGCGUGUAGGCGGUUAGCUAAGUCAGAUGUGAAAGCCCUUGGCUUAACCAAGGAAGAGCAUUUGAAACUAGCUGACUAGAGUACAGGAGAGGAAAGUGGAAUUCCCAGUGUAGAGGUGAAAUUCAUAGAUAUUGGGAGGAACACCGGUAGCGAAGGCGGCUUUCUGGUCUGAUACUGACGC